AGGGCUGUAGCUCAGUAGGUAGGAUGCAGGCCUGGCAUGCAGAAAGUCCCAGGUUCAAUUGCUGGGAUCUCUA